AUAUUGGUCAAUGGGCGUAAGCCUGAACCAGCCAAGUAGCGUGAGGGAAGACUGCCCUAUGGGUUGUAAACCUCUUUUGUGCGGGGAUAAAGUGAGGGACGUGUCCCUUAUUGCAGGUACCGCACGAAUAAGGACCGGCUAAUUCCGUGCCAGCAGCCGCGGUAAUACGGAAGGUCCGGGCGUUAUCCGGAUUUAUUGGGUUUAAAGGGAGCGCAGGCCGUCCUUUAAGCGUGCUGUGAAAUGCCGCGGCUCAACCGUGGCACUGCAGCGCGAACUGGAGGACUUGAGUACGCACGAGGCAGGCGGAAUUCGUGGUGUAGCGGUGAAAUGCUUAGAUAUCACGAAGAACUCCGAUUGCGAAGGCAGCUUACCGGAGCGCAACUGACGCUGAGGCUCGAAAGCGCGGGUAUCGAACAGGAUUAGAUACCCUGGUAGUCCGCGCGGUAAACGAUGGAUGCCCGCCGUUGGGUUUUAGAAUUCAGCGGCCAAGCGAAAGCGUUAAGCAUCCCACCUGGGGAGUACGCCGGCAACGGUGAAACUCAAAGGAAUUGACGGGGGCCCGCACAAGCGGAGGAACAUGUGGUUUAAUUCGAUGAUACGCGAGGAACCUUACCUGGGUUUAAAUGGGAAAUGUCGUAUUUGGAAACAGAUAUUCUCUUCGGAGCGUUUUUCAAGGUGCUGCAUGGUUGUCGUCAGCUCGUGCCGUGAGGUGUCGGCUCAAGUGCCAUAACGAGCGCAACCCCUGUCCAUAGUUGCCAUCAGGUUAUGCUGGGCACUCUGUGGAGACUGCCGCCGUAAGGUGUGAGGAAGGUGGGGAUGACGUCAAAUCAGCACGGCCCUUAC
rnacentral:rRNA from 1 species